AUGAACACUAGCGGCAGGCUUAACACAUGCAAGUCGAGGGGCAGCAAGGGUAGCAAUACCUGUUGGCGACCGGCAAACGGGUGCGGAACACGUACAGAAUCCUACCGUUAUCUGGGGCAUAGCCCGGAGAAAUCCGGAUUAAACUCCCCAUAAUAUAGUUGAGUGGCAUCAUUUGAUUAUUAAAAAUUUUACUGGAUAAAGAUGACUGUGCGUCCCAUUAGCUAGUUGGUAGGGUAAGAACGGCCUACCAAGGCGACGAUGGGUAGCUGGUGUGAGAGCACGACCAGCCACACGGGCACUGAGACACGGGCCCGACUCCUACGGGAGGCAGCAGUGAGGAAUAUUGGUCAAUGGGCGAGAGCCUGAACCAGCCAUGCCGCGUGAAGGAUGACGGCCUUCUGGGUUGUAAACUUCUUUUAUAAGGGAAGAAAACUACGGUUUCUACUGUAGCCGACGGUACCCUUACGAAUAAGCACCGGCUAACCCGUGCCAGCAGCCGCGGUAAUACGGAGGGUGCAAGCGUUAUCCGGAUUUACUGGGUUUAAAGGGUGUGUAGGCGGGCUUUUAAGUCAGUGGUGAAAUCUCCGAGCUUAACUUGGAAACUGCCAUUGAUACUAUUAGUCUUGAAUUCUGUUGAGGUAGGCGGAAUAAGUCAUGUAGCGGUGAAAUGCAUAGAUAUGACUUAGAACACCGAUUGCGAAGGCAGCUUACUAAGCAGACAUUGACGCUGAGGCACGAAAGCGUGGGGAUCAACAGGAUUAGAUACCCUGGUAGUCCACGCCCUAUAACGAUGAUUACUCGACAUACGCGAUACACAGUGUGUGUUGAGCGAAAGCACUAAGUAAUCCAACAUGGGAAGUACGUCCGCAAGGAAUGAAACUCAAGGACAUUGACGGGGGGUUCCGCACAAGCGGUGGAGCAUGUGGUUUAAUUCGAUGAUACGCGAGGAACCUUACCUGGGCUAGAAUGCCACUUGACCGGUCCUGAAAGGGAUUUUUAUAGCAAUAUACAGGUGGUAAGGUGCUGCAUGGCCGUCGUCAGCUCGUGCCGUGAGGUGUUGAGUUAAGUCCCGCAACGAGCGCAACCCUAUUCUUCAGUUGCCAGCACGUAAAGGUGGGAACUCUGAAGAAACUGCCGUCGUAAGACGCGAGGAAGGAGGGGAUGAUGGUCAGGUCAUCAUGCCUUUAUGCCCAGGGCUACACGUGCUACAAUGGGGAGGACAAUGGGCUGCUACCUGGCGACGGAUGCAAAAUCUCAAAACCUUCUCUCAGUUCAGAUUGUAGUCUGCAACUCGACUACAUGAAGCUGGAAUCGCUAGUAAUCGCGCAUCAGCAAUGGCGCGGUGAAAUACGUUCCCUGGACCUUGUACACACCGCCCGUCAAGCCAUGGAAGCUGGGUGUACCUAAGUCGGUAACCGCAAGGAGCCGCCUAGGGUAAAACUAGUAACUGGGGCU
rnacentral:rRNA from 1 species